CCUUUGUGUCGGAGGCGGUUUUGCAUGUCCCAGGGCAGCGAUACAGCCGUAAUCGCCCUUGGGCAGAGUCCUGGAUCCCCCAGCUGGGCGCCGCGCCGCCCGAUCCCCCGGCCGCGCCGCCCGCCGGAGGCCGUGCAAGGCCCCUCCGGCCGCGAGCGAUUGCAGCCGAGCUCGGUUUCAAUUCCACGUGAGCAAGCAGCUCCUUGCUGAAACCCAGAGUUUGUUUGUCACUUCGGUAACAUUGAGUAGAUUUAGAGCUGGCUCGCGAUGCCGCUCGCUCCCGGAGAGCUGCUCCGGCCGCCGCUCGCCUGGACCCUGGCCUGGCACCCAGCGGCGUUGGUGCGGAAAGCGAAGCGGAAAGCGAAGCGGAAAGCGAAGCAGAAAUCAGCCCUCGUUGCCCAGAGCCGACACCAGCCUCAGCCCCUGCUGCAACGCGGAGGAUGCCAGCGCCGACGGCCGAGUCGAGACCAGUGUACCGAGCUGUUCAGUGCCGAGACGAGGGAGGGGAGCCCUUUUGCUGCCGGUUCACUUAGCCAGCGGGCAGGCUCGGCGCAGCCGGGGGCAGCGUGCACACGCGCGCGCACCCCGCCAGCGACAGCGCCCGGAACCCAGCGAAACGCGGCGGGAGCCGAGGCGGACCGCUCCAGCCGCUCCACGUAGGAGACGCAAGCUGUGUGGGCGGGUCGUGGUGACGGUGCGUGGAGCCACGGUGCGUAUUCUCCUCUCCCUGGCCAUUUGCGCUGCUGUCGCUCCGGGUCCGAAGGUGGAAAUCCAGCCCGAGGAUCGCCGCCGCAGCCUGGGCACGCGGACGCCGUUCGUCUCGGCGGAGCCACAGCUGGGCCGCGCGGAGGUAUCGCUGCUUCGCUCCGACGGACGUUAUUUGCUCGUGAUGUUAUUAUCUGCGUCUUCCCGAAGGAGCGGCUGCCGUCCUCCCUUCCGUGGCCACCACUGGCUCCAAGCCUGCGUUUGUAGUCGAUGCGGCUUCUGGUUUGACAGAUUUGGAUCCCUCCCUGAUGCUGCCAUGUGCCGGAUGCGAUCCAGCCCCAGGAAUGCGGCUCCGGAGCCGUGCCAGGUGCCGGGAGCAGGAUCGGUGCUCGCUGCCGCCCGGCGGAGCUGCUGCCUGUUCUUGGAGCGACGGCCAUUCGCAUUCACCGCAGCGCACGGGAUAACAGCGGAUGAGCUCCUUCCUAGGGAGCACGCAAAAACUUGUGUCCAGCAGGCACAGUAUGCGAAGAACUCAUGUUUAAAUGAUUGCAACAUGGUGGUGGCACAAGGAGCGGCGCAGCCCAUUACCGGUCCCCGGCCCCGGCGGCGCCAUGAGCUGAGCGAGGGGCGUCCUCCCGGCACGGGAGCUCGCCGGCGAGCCCGCAGCGUGCAGACGGCUGGGAAAAGCGACGGGUGCACGAAAGCACGGGGAGCGGGGCAAGCAGGAUUCGGGUGCUCCCUUCCAGUUCGGCAAGACGCCGUGGCAUGCCGUGGCGAUGUCGCCAUCCGCUCAAACGGGGAGCUGGAGCGGCACGGAGGGCCCGUUUCGGGGACGGGGCGCGCUCAGCGGCGCGGUCACACCACCUUUCCCGGGGCUGCAGAGCAGCCGUCGCAGGGGUGUUAAUGGUCUCCGGUCGUGACGUGCCGGACGGGAGAGCAGCCUCCGAGCUCGGGAUUCAGCACGCUUUAAUGAGCUCAGCGCCAGAGUCCUCACAGAGGAGUUAACGAUUCAGGAUCAUGCUUGUCACUUUGCUACAAGGAAAUUGUCAAGUUAGCAGUAGUUUAUUAAAAAGAAGAAAGAAAUGUUUUUGCUAAUUAAAAUCAAUGCAAUAUCAAAGUAUUUUCUUAAGACCCUGUUUGGGUUGAAGUUUGCAUUUUUCUCUCUCUCUCUAAAGCAGAGCACUUCACUAAUUAAUUGUUAGCUGGCUCAUUUUGUUAGUGCAGCUUGUGCACAAGUUUGCACAUUUCUGUAGCAUUUGAAUUGCAAUUGCUGCAGGAAUAUCAUAAAAAAGGAAAAUCCACGGGAAUUUUAAAAGAGAGUGGGAACUACUCUGUUAGACUUCAGUUUUUAAGUGCCUUAUUGUUACAAAUCUUAAAUAUAUCUUGGCAGUAUGUUUAGCUUUCCCUCCCCCCAACCUUUCUUUUCACUUGGGUGUUUAAGAUAACAAGAUGCUGCUUUUUUAUGGGUUAUAUUAGCUUGGACCAUGAAGGGCGAUAAGGAGACAGCUCCACGACCAGGAAAAACGGGCAGAGGAGACCUGCGAAGCACGCUUCUUCGCUGCACCGUCCUCGUCCUCACCGGGAGACAUGCUCACAUCCAGAGGGGGAAAAUCCAGGGGCUGGGCCCCAGCGCCAGAUGCUGAUCCUGCAGGAGACGCAGCCUCCGUGGGGAUUACCGGGCGGAGAGGGGCCGGCGCGGGCAGCCUGAAGGUAGCGGGCCAAGCCGAGCCGCUCUCGCCAGCCCCGGGACACGGGAAAGCCGCGAGCACAGCCGCAAGCUUUCCCGGGAGCGUGGCAGGGUGCGGAGAGGGUCCCCCCGGCUCCUUUCCCCCAUGGGGCCGAACUAGACAGAGGUGCUGCCCCUCCCCAGAAAUGCCGCAACCUGCUCUUUGUGCCUGAUAUGGUCCUGUGCAUCCCCAGUUCUGUCCCAGGAUCAUUUAUUGCCCUAGAAUAAAUCCUUUACCUUUUCUUUAGGUGCCA
rnacentral:lncRNA from 1 species